rfam:Triticum aestivum genome assembly, contig: Triticum_aestivum_CS42_TGACv1_scaffold_403769_5AS
CUUGUACUUCCUCCGUCCGGAAAUACUUGUCAUAGAAAUGGAUACAAAUGGGUGUAUCUAGAACUAAAAUACAUCUAGAUACAUCCAUUAUUUGGACAAGUAUUUCCGGACGGAGGGAAUAUAUG